rnacentral:rRNA from 1 species
GUAGGAGGCAAGCGUUAUCCGGAUUUAUUGGGCGUAAAGGGCGUCUAGGCGGUGUCUUAAGUUGGGCGUGAAAUCUCCCGGCUCAACUGGGAGGGGCCGUUCAAUACUGAGACACUUGAGGGCAGGAGAGGAAAGUGGAAUUCCCGGUGUAGUGGUGGAAUACUUAGAUAUCGGGAGGAACACCAGUGGCGAAGGCGGCUUUCUGGCCUGCACCUGACGCUGAGGCGCGAAAGCGUGGGGAGCAAACAGGAUUAGAUACCCUGGUAGUCCACGCCGUAAACGAUGAGUGCUAAGUGUUAGGGGGUUUCCCGCCCCCCUUAGUGCUGCAGCUAACGCAUUAAGCACUCCGCCUGGGGGAGUACGGCCGCAAGGCUG